UCUCACCUUUUUUCUAACUAAUAAAUUUUACGGAAAAAUCAUUCUACAUCAUACAGUUAGAAAAGAAAGUGAACUCACAUUAUCUCAAUUUCUUUUCCAAUUAAUAAAUUUUACAGAAAAAAUCAUUCUACAUCGUACAGUUAGAAAAGGAACUGAACUCACAUUAUCUCACUUUUUUUUUCCAAUUAAUAAAUUUUACAGAAAAAAUCAUUCUACAUCGUACAGUUAGAAAAGGAACUGAACUCACGUUAUCUCACUUCUUUUUUUCCAAUUAAUAAAUUUUACAGAAAAAAACAUUCUGCAUCGUACAGUUAGAAAAGGAACGAAAAUAUAAUACUCUACUUUU
rnacentral:lncRNA from 1 species